rnacentral:rRNA from 1 species
UAGGGAAUCUUGGUAAUCUGGGAAACCGGGAACCAGCAACGCCGCGUGCGCGAUGAAGGCCUUCGGGUUGUAAAGCGCUUUUUGAGAGGAUGAGGAAGGACAGUACUCUUAGAAUAAGCCUCGGCUAACUACGUGCCAGCAGCCGCGGUAAAACGUAGGCGGCGAGCGUUAUCCGGAUUUACUGGGCGUAAAGCGUGUGUAGGCGGUUUGAUAAGUUGGAUGUGAAAGCUCCUGGCUUAACGGGGGGAGGUCGUUCAAAACUAUCAGGCUUGAGAGUGGUAGAGGGAGGUGGAAGGCCGCAUGUAGUGGUGAAAUGCGUAGAUAUGCGGAGGAACACCAGUGGCGAAAGCGGCCUCCUGGCCCAUUUCUGACGCUCAGACACGAAAGCUAAGGUAGCAAACG